GUGGGGAAUUUUGGACAAUGGGCGCAAGCCUGAUCCAGCAAUGCCGCGUGCAGGAAGAAGGCCUUCGGGUUGUAAACUGCUUUUGUACGGAACGAAAAGGCUCUGGUUAAUACCUGGGGCUCAUGACGGUACCGUAAGAAUAAGCACCGGCUAACUACGUGCCAGCAGCCGCGGUAAUACGUAGGGUGCAAGCGUUAAUCGGAAUUACUGGGCGUAAAGCGUGCGCAGGCGGUUUUGUAAGACAGACGUGAAAUCCCCGGGCUCAACCUGGGAAUGGCGCUUGUGACUGCAAGGCUGGAGUGCGGCAGAGGGGGAUGGAAUUCCGCGUGUAGCAGUGAAAUGCGUAGAUAUGCGGAGGAACACCGAUGGCGAAGGCAAUCCCCUGGGCCUGCACUGACGCUCAUGCACGAAAGCGUGGGGAGCAAACAGGAUUAGAUACCCGGGUAGUCC
rnacentral:rRNA from 1 species